rnacentral:rRNA from 1 species
AUUGAACGCUGGCGGCAGGCCUAACACAUGCAAGUCGAGCGAGCGGCGGACGGGUGAGUAAUGUCUGGGGAUCUGCCCGAUGGAGGGGGAUAACUACUGGAAACGGUGGCUAAUACCGCAUACUAUCGGAUGAACCCAGAUGGGAUUAGCUAGUAGGUGGGGUAAAGGCUCACCUAGGCGACGAUCCCUAGCUUGUCUGAGAGGAUGAACAGCCACACUGGAACUGAGACACGGCCCAGACUCCUACGGGAGGCAGCAGUGGGGAAUAUUGCACAAUGGGCGCAAGCCUGAUGCAGCCAUGCCGCGUGUAUGAAGAAGGCCUUCGGGUUGUAAAGUACUUUCAGCGGGGAGGCGUUACCCGCAGAAGAAGCACCGGCUAACUCCGUGCCAGCAGCCGCGGUAAUAC